GGUGAGUAAUGUCUGGGAAACUGCCUGAUGGAGGGGGAUAACUACUGGAAACGGUAGCUAAUACCGCAUAACGUCGCAAGACCAAAGAGGGGGACCUUCGGGCCUCUUGCCAUCGGAUGUGCCCAGAUGGGAUUAGCUAGUAGGUGGGGUAACGGCUCACCUAGGCGACGAUCCCUAGCUGGUCUGAGAGGAUGACCAGCCACACUGGAACUGAGACACGGUCCAGACUCCUACGGGAGGCAGCAGUGGGGAAUAUUGCACAAUGGGCGCAAGCCUGAUGCAGCCAUGCCGCGUGUAUGAAGAAGGCCUUCGGGUUGUAAAGUACUUUCAGCGGGGAGGAAGGGAGUAAAGUUAAU
rnacentral:rRNA from 1 species